ACGCGUGAGAACAUGCCUUUAGAUUGGGGACAACAGUUGGAAACGACUGCUAAUACCGAAUGUGCCUUAGGGUGAAAGAUUUAUUGUCUAGAGAUUGGCUCGCGUCAGAUUAGCUAGUUGGAGUGGUAACGGCACACCAAGGCGACGAUCUGUACUUGGUCUGAGAGGAUGACCAGGCACACUGGAACUGAGACACGGUCCAGACUCCUACGGGAGGCAGCAGUGGGGAAUUUUCCGCAAUGGGCGAAAGCCUGACGGAGCAAUACCGCGUGAGGGAGGACGGCUUUUGGGUUGUAAACCUCUUUUAUCAGGGAAGAAUCGAUGACGGUACCUGAUGAAUCAGCAUCGGCUAACUCCGUGCCAGCAGCCGCGGUAAUACGGAGGAUGCAAGCGUUAUCCGGAAUUAUUGGGCGUAAAGCGUCCGUAGGUGGUUUAUCAAGUCUGCUGUCAAAGCGUGCGGCUUAACCGCAUAAGGGCAGUGGAAACUGAUGAACUAGAGUGCGAUAGGGGUAACAGGAAUUCCCAGUGUAGCGGUGAAAUGCGUAGAUAUUGGGAAGAACACCAGCGGCGAAAGCGUGUUACUGGGUCUGCACUGACACUGAGGGACGAAAGCUAGGGGAGCGAAAGGGAUUAGAUACCCCU
rnacentral:rRNA from 4 species